GUGGUGGUGGAGGCCUCUCCGCGGGUGGAAGUGGAGGGUGAGGGUCCGACUGCUGAUCAACGGGACAGUCGCUAUCUCUGCCAGCCUGAGGAAUGGAAGAAGAGCGACAGCCUCCUCCUGAUAACGCUGUCACUACUAGCAAUAUCAAGCAGCUCCUGCCAGGACAACAGAUGUGUGGGAGCAUGACUGUUGUCAAAGACUUUGUGGAUGUGUGACAGAGACAGCGUAAUCCCUCUGGAAGUGUCUCGUCUUUUUCCAUGUUUGGAUUAAAGAGCCCAGCAAUCUCUCUCCAAAGUUUGCCUACAUUAGCCAACAUACUGCAAGUUACAAGUCAUACCAGACCAAGUAAG